CCUACGGGUGGCUGCAGUCGAGAAUCAUUCACAAUGGGGGAAACCCUGAUGGUGCGACGCCGCGUGGGGGAAUGAAGGUCUUCGGAUUGUAAACCCCUGUCAUGUGGGAGCAAAUUAAAAAGAUAGUACCACAAGAGGAAGAGACGGCUAACUCGGUGCCAGCAGCCGCGGUAAUAAGGAGGUCUCAAGCGUUGUUCGGAUUCAGUGGCCGUAAAGCGUGCGUUGGCGGUUUCUAAAGUCGUGGGUGGAGGGCGCGGGCUGAAUCCGCGAACGGCACAUGAUACUGCGUGGCUAGAGUGAUGGAGGGGGAACCGGAAUGCUCGGUGGAGCAGUGAAAUGCGUAGAUAUCGCGAAGAACACUCGUGGCGAAGGCGGGUUCCGGGACAUUAACUGACGCUGAGGCACGAAGGCCAGGGGAGCGAAAGGGAUUAGAUACCCUGGUAGUC
rnacentral:rRNA from 1 species